AUGGUGGCGAAGAAGCCGGCCGUGGCGGCGGCGGCAGCCGGCCCGGAGGCGGAGGAGCGGAGGCGCCUGCGGUCGCUGGCCUUCUCCAAGGGCCUGCUGCAGCGCGGCGAGCCGGCGGCGCCGCGGGCGGCGCUCCCGCCGUCCGGCGCCGUGGUGCGGUUGCAGGGACGCGACAUCGUGCGGCCGCGGGGCCAGCGCAGGGGCCGCUUCCUCUUCUCCUUCCCCGGCCUCCUCGCGCCCGCCGCCGGCGCCGGCGGCCGCGUCGGGGAGCUCGCCGACCUCGGCACCAAGAACCCCGUCCUAUACCUCGAGUUCCCGCAGGGGAGGAUGAAGCUGCUGGGCACGCACGUGUACCCCAAGAACAAGUACCUCACGCUGCAGAUGACCAGAUCCGCCAAGGGCGUCGCCUGCGAGGACGUCUUCGAGAGCAUGAUUGUGUUUUCCGAAGCCUGGUGGGUCGGGACGAAGGAAGAGAACCCCGACGAGCUCAAACUCGAGUUUCCAAAAGAUAUGCAGAAUGUAUGCGCUGCGGAAGACAUCGAUUUUAAAGGCGGAGCAGGCGCUGCCAGUGGUGAGGUAGUGACAGUAAAUAAACCCAAGCCCCGUACAGCAGAGCCCAGUACACCAGAGUUUGAAUCCGAUGCUGAUUCGGAGGAUUCGGAUGGUAAGGAUGAGAUUGGCACGCAGACCACAAGUGAUACACCUGUUAGGAAAUCUGCCAGAACUGCUGGGAAAACCUUCAAAUUCGCAGAGCUCGCUGGAGGAGAUUCGGCUGACAGUGACACUGAGAUUGAGUUUGCUGAGGACUUGGAUGAGAAGAUGGAGGCUGCAGAAAUUAAGGAAGAAAUCCCAGGUGAAGACAUUAAACCUGAAGAUCCUCCAGCAGAGUCUCUUUCUAUCAAGAAGCAACCACUUGUUCAGGCUAAUUUGUCUGCCAUGUUUAAAAAAGCAGAAGAAAAAAAGAGACCUACAACUACGAGAAGUCCUAAAGGAUCUCCAGCUACAAAAGGUCCUGCUGCUAAGAAGCAGCGAGCAACUCCAACGAAAAAACAGUCACCAGCGAAGAAGGAAGCAAGCGGAUCCCUCAAGAAGCAAAAAGCAAAGGUAGACGAAGCGGCAUUACAGGAUGACGACAUGGGCGAGGAGGAGGAUGAUGACAGCGACGACGACUGGGCCGGGUAA
rnacentral:rRNA from 1 species